GCGGCCUAUCAGCUUGUUGGUGAGGUAAUGGCUCACCAAGGCAACGACGGGUAGCCGGCCUGAGAGGGCGACCGGCCACACUGGGACUGAGACACGGCCCAGACUCCUACGGGAGGCAGCAGUGGGGAAUAUUGGGCAAUGGAGGAAACUCUGACCCAGCGACGCCGCGUGCGGGAUGAAGGCCUUCGGGUUGUAAACCGCUUUCAGUAGGGAAGAAGCGAAAGUGACGGUACCUACGAAAGAAGCACCGGCUAACUAUGUGCCAGCAGCCGCGGUAAUGCAUAGGGUGCAAGCGUUGUCCGGAAUUAUUGGGCGUAAAGAGCUCGUAGGUCGUUUGUUACGUCGGAUGUGAAAACCUGAGGCUCAACCUCAGGCCUGCAUUCGAUACGGGCAAACUAGAGUUUGGUAGGGGAGACUGGAAUUCCU
rnacentral:rRNA from 1 species